rnacentral:lncRNA from 1 species
ACAAAUGUGCCCUCCCAGUGGAGGCUGUUGAUGGGACACUUGUUCUGAUAGUUAAUGAAUAUGUAUGUGACUCCUUCACAGGGUGUGGUGGGUGACGUGGGGGAGAGGGGACCCCCUGGUCCUGAUGGCAAAGAGGGGCCUGUUGGUGGGACUGGCAUUGCCGGCUUUCCGGGAUUGAGGGGGGACAUUGGGCCUGAGGGACCGCGAGGACUGCCUGGUUUUAUGGGACCUCAGGUAUGUUUUCUAUUAUAUUCCAGAAAAUAGUGUUUAGUGCUGCGGAAUAUGACUGACUUAUUCUGUUUGUGCUGCAUGUUAUCAACACAUCAUUGUAAACAUGUCAAGAUAUUAACAGAUAAUGAACUGUGAGAAGUGAGGGGAAGCAUUGACAGUGUCCGUUUUCAUGGGUUCCUCUUUGUCGUCAUGGUUUCACUCACUCUGCAGAUCCUAGAGGGGAAUACUGUCAAAGGAGUCAGUGUUUCCUCCCAUAAAUCCCCUUUUCUCUCUCUCUAAUUGACCAAUUCUUGCGUCUUCCUUCUUGUCUUCCUUUCUUCCUGAUCUGUGGCAGGGCCCAGCGGGACGAGCCGGCCUGCCUGGAUUGAAAGGUGAUAAGGUGAUCUAAAUAUUUACAUUAUUGCAGUUUGUCUGUAGUCUGCCAGUCGCUAAAUUCACAUCAUUGGGUGUAUUCAAAUAUCCUGUGGACCUUUUUUUUAACCAAAAAAAAAAAAAACUGAAUCUGAGUUUAGAUUCGGUUAAACAGCAAGAGAGAAACUAAAACCUCAGUCAUUUGUAUUGGUUCUUUGCAGUGUUACCAUUAAUUACCAUGAUUUUUUUUAAUAUCUUAAAUGAACAUUCUUACCAUCUUGCCCUGACAGUGACCAGCUGUUACAUAUGAAUAUGUACUCUACUGUACAUACAGUUAUGGUCAAAAUUGUUACCCCUUUAGAUGCUGCAGUGGUUUUCAUGGAAGGAAAAAGUUUUUAGUUUUUGGGUGAUUUUCCUUGAAUGCCAGAGAUUUAGGAAAUAAUAUUUGAGCCAAAGUAACCCUUGAUGUAUCUGGGAACCAAACAAAUGCACCACCCAGAUGCCCAAACAGCCCCAGAACAGCCCAUGAUAGCAGAGCAGAGUUGUAGUCGGAGGUUUUCUUUGGGUCUUGGUGGUUCAUUUUGACCUUAACUGUGCCUCUUUUGUGUCUUCAGUGUCCUGUAUGGUUGAGUUUGUCGAGGAUUUUCUUCAGUUAACACAAAGUCAAAAUGCUGCUUUUAAGAGUUUAAUAAGUCAGUCAGAACACAUGCAACAACAGCAUGCAGAGAGAUCUCUGCCCAGUGUAACAAACAUGUCCCCUUUAUAAUGCUUAGCAACUAUGCCUUUCUCUCAGUACUUUUCCAUCUACUUACUUCAUUGUCACAAGGUUAGCAUGAUAAACUGUGGCAUUUUGAAGGUUGCUGACUCGCACAUCUUCAUUAUUUUCUGAGGAGUCUUUGUUCUAGAACUCGUGACACCUCGUACACCUGCACAAGCAUCAUCGAAUGAACUUGCUUGACCAUACUGGUUUAAAUGAUCUAUGCUAAACAAAAAUAAUUUCUUUACAUGUUGCACUCUAUGGCAGGGCAGUGUUGUGUUAUAUCUCUGUGAUACUGUGAAAUUCAGGGUGAAGUAGGAAACCAAGGAGAGCCGGGAGAAAUGGGAUACCAAGGCGAUAAGGUGAGCCUGAAAAACUGACUGUUUCAUGUCUUUUUUGUCGCAGUUAAUCUAGAAUUUUCCCAGAAUCAGAAAUACUUUGGCUGGAAUGAAGAAAGGCUCGAUCAAAUGGAAAAAAACAAAAAAUGUGCAUGAUGCACCUUUUGCCUGUAUUUUUCAGGGUGUUGUUGGUUUGCCUGGUCCUGCAGGGCCAAUCGGACAUCCAGGACCGCCGGUAUGUUCAUGCAAACAUGCACUGAUGUGAAAGUGUCUAUUUGUGCAUUUGUAUCUGCAGGUAAAUGCAUAUUUGCAUUUGAUUUUACAUUCACAGCACAUCAGCAAUACUGGAUUACAUCUCAACUACUAAAUAAGCCUUGAAGCACAUAUGACGUGAUAAAACAGGCUAGAGAAAUUAUAUCGCAAAAUUAGUAUCAUCAGCAUUUUUCUUCUCUUUAUAAGGGAAAAAUUGGCGAUAUUGGUGCACAAGGGCCACCUGGGCCUCCGGGACCAGAGGUAGGACUCAGAUCUGCAUAUUUUAAUAUGAUUCAUUAGCAAUUUACACACUGUCCUCAAGG